rnacentral:rRNA from 1 species
CCUACGGGUGGCAGCAGUGAGGAAUAUUGGUCAAUGGACGAGAGUCUGAACCAGCCAAGUAGCGUGAAGGAUGACUGCCCUAUGGGUUGUAAACUUCUUUUAUAUGGGAAUAAAAUAGGGUACGCAUACCUUUUUGUAUGUACCUUCUGAAUAAGGAUCGGCUAACUCCGUGCCCGCAGCCGCGGUAAUACGGAGGAUCCGAGCGUUAUCCGGAUUUAUUGGGUUUAAAGGGAGCGUAGAUGGGUUGUUAAGUCAGUUGUGAAAGUUUGCGGCUCAACCGUAAAAUUGCAGUUGAAACUGGCAGCCUUGAGUACAGUUGAGGUGGGCGGAAUUCGUGGUGUAGCGGUGAAAUGCUUAGAUAUCACGAAGAACUCCGAUUGCGAAGGCAGCUCACUAAACUGCCACUGACACUGAUGCUCGAAAGUGUGGGUAUCAAACAGGAUUAGAUACCCGUGUAGUC